rnacentral:rRNA from 1 species
AUUGAACGCUGGCGGCAGGCCUAACACAUGCAAGUCGAGCGGAUGAAGGGAGCUUGCUCCUGGAUUCAGCGGCGGACGGGUGAGUAAUGCCUAGGAAUCUGCCUGGUAGUGGGGGAUAACGUCCGGAAACGGGCGCUAAUACCGCAUACGUCCUGAGGGAGAAAGUGGGGGAUCUUCGGACCUCACGCUAUCAGAUGAGCCUAGGUCGGAUUAGCUAGGUGGUGGGGUAAAGGCCUACCAAGGCGACGAUCCGUAACUGGUCUGAGAGGAUGAUCAGUCACACUGGAACUGAGACACGGUCCAGACUCCUAAGGGAGGCAGCAGUGGGGAAUAUUGGACAAUGGGCGAAAGCCUGAUCCAGCCAUGCCGCGUGUGUGAAGAAGGUCUUCGGAUUGUAAAGCACUUUAAGUUGGGAGGAAGGGCAGUAAGUUAAUACCUUGCUGUUUUGACGUUACCAACAGAAUAAGCACCGGCUAACUUCGUG